UACAACCCCAGAGAAGAGCA
rnacentral:tRNA from 2 species